CGUAAAUUAAUAAAAUAGUAGCAAAGUAUUAUAAAAUAAUACUUAAUUAUAAUCAGGUUAGUUAAGUGGUACCUCUACCUUAAUUGUCCGAGACCUUGGAGCUAGAGGAUCUAGGUUGGAGGUGAGGCCUGAUUGGUUGAGAUGUUGUUGGAGCUAGAGAGUGAGGGUCGACAAAUGAGAGCCCUAGAGUGAGGGCUUGAUCACCUGAGGCUCCGGUGGUGCAGGAGAGUAGAGUUGAGGUUU
rnacentral:lncRNA from 1 species